UUCCGGUUGAUCCCGCCGGACCCCACUGCUAUCGGGAUAGGACUAAGACAUGCUAGUCGUGUGCCUCAGCCAAAACGAGGCACGGCGCACAGCUCAGUAACACGUGGCUAACCUGCCCUUAGGACGAGAAUAACCCCGGGAAACUGGGGCUAAUGCUCGAUAGGUGAAGAACUCUGGAAUGAGUCUUCACUUAAAAGAGUCUGCGUUAUGCUCGUAGAUUUCGCUUAAGGAUGGGGCCGCGACCGAUCAGGUUGUUGGUGAGGUAAUGGCUCACCAAGCCUUUUACCGGUGCGGGCCGUGAGAGCGGGAGCCCGGAGAUGGGCACUGAGACAAGGGCCCAGGCCCUACGGGGCGCAGCAGUCGCGAAAACUUUGCAAUACACGAAAGUGUGACAGGGCUAUCCCGAGUGCCAUCCGCUGAGGAAGGCUUUUACCCAGUCUAGAAAGCUGGGGGAAUAAGGAGAGGGCAAGUCUGGUGUCAGCCGCCGCGGUAAUACCAGCUCUCCGAGUGGUGUGGAUGUUUAUUGGGCCUAAAGCAUCCGUAGCUGGCUAAGUUAGUCCCCUGUUAAAUCCAACGAAUUAAUCGUUGGAUCGCGGGGGAUACUGCUUGGCUAGGGGACGAGAGAGGCAGACGGUAUUUCCGGGGUAGGGGUGAAAUCCUAUAAUCCCGGGAAGACCACCAGUGGCGAAGGCUGUCUGCUAGAACGCGCCCGACGGUGAGGGAUGAAAGCUGGGGGAGCGAACCGGAUUAGAUACCCGGGUAGUCCCAGCUGUAAACGAUGCAGGCUAGGUGUUUGGACGGCCACGUGCCGUUCUAGUGCCGCAGGGAAGCUGUUAAGCCUGCCGCCUGGGGAGUACGAUCGCAAGAUUGAAACUUAAAGGAAUUGGCGGGGGAGCACCACAAGGGGUGAAGCUUGCGGUUUAAUUGGAGUCAACGCCGGA
rnacentral:rRNA from 1 species